UAGGGAAUCUUCGGCAAUGGGGGGAACCCUGACCGAGCAACGCCGCGUGAGUGAAGAAGGUUUUCGGAUCGUAAAGCUCCGUUGUUAAGGAAGAACGAGUGUGAGAAUGGAAAGUUCAUGCUGUGACGGUACUUAACCAGAAAGGGACGGCUACCUACGUGCCAGCAGCCGCGGUAAUACGUAGGUCCCGAGCGUUGUCCGGAUUUAUUGGGCGUAAAGCGAGCGCAGGCGGUUAGAAAAGUCUGAAGUGAAAGGCAGUGGCUCAACCAUUGUAGGCUUUUGAAGCUGUUUAACUUGAGUGCAGAAGGGGAGAGUGGAAUUCCAUGUGUAGCGGUGAAAUGCGUAGGUAUAUGGAGGAACACCGGUAGCGAAGGCGGCUCUCUGGUCUGUAUCUGACGCUGAGGCUCGAAAGCGUGGGUAGCUAACAUG
rnacentral:rRNA from 1 species